rnacentral:siRNA from 1 species
AGGACGAGUUGGCGGGACGGGUU